rnacentral:rRNA from 1 species
AUUGAACGCUGGCGGCAGGCCUAACACAUGCAAGUCGAGCGGAGCGGCGGACGGGUGAGUAAUGCCUAGGAAUCUGCCUGGUCGUGGGGGAUAACGUCCGGAAACGGGCGCUAAUACCGAAUACUAUCAGAUGCGCCUAGGUCGGAUUAGCUAGAUGGUGGGGUAAAGGCCUACCAAGGCGACGCUCCGUACCUGGUCGGAGAGGAUGAUCAGUCAAUCGGGAAUGCAGACAGGGUACAGACUUCUACGGGAGGAAGCAGUGGGGAAUUUUGGACAGUGGGCGAACGCCUGCUCCAGCCAUGCCGCGUGUGUGAAGAAGGUCGUCGGAUUGUAAAGCGCUUUAAGGUGGGAGUCGUUCCAACAGAAUAAGCACCGGCUAACCUCGUGCCAGCAGCCGCGGUAAUAC